GGCCCCUGGUGGCAGCCGGCCAGAGCCUCUUAGGAAGUGCUGGAGUCUCCGACCGGAGCCGCCGGAAACCCGCUGCCCGGAGGUGGCCCCUUGGCUGUGAAGACAGGCAAGAUCAGAGGAGCAGGUGCUGGCCUCGCGGGACCCCCAGGUUGUAGGACUGUGAUCAAAGUCUGGAGGACCUCCAUAGCCCUUAACACCGACUUGGUUACAGUCUCGCUGACGAAUCUGGUGGCCUGAGUUCCACCGAGGGGCAGGUGACAGCCUGUGGGCAGGCAGGGGUGUGCUGGUAGGUGGUCAGGAACCAGCUGUAUAGAAGGAAAGGCCCAUGUGUCCAUGUGUUGUCCACCAUGGGUGGGUGAGCUGGUG